rnacentral:rRNA from 1 species
UACGUAGGGGGCGAGCGUUGUCCGGAUUUAUUGGGCGUAAAGAGCUCGUAGGCGGUCUGUCGCGUCGGUCGUGAAAACUUGGGGCUUAACCCUGAGCUUGCGGUCGAUACGGGCAUGACUGGAGUUCGGCAGGGGAGACUGGAAUUCCUGGUGUAGCGGUGAAAUGCGUAGAUAUCGAGAGGAACACCUGCGGCGAAGGCGGGUUGCUGGGCUGACACUGACGCUGAGGCGCGAAAGCUAGGGGAGCGAACGGG